rnacentral:rRNA from 1 species
AUACGUAGGGGGCGAGCGUUGUCCGGAAUGAUUGGGCGUAAAGGGCGCGUAGGCGGCCCGGUAAGUCUGGAGUGAAAGUCCUGUUUUUAAGAUGGGAAUUGCUUUGGAUACUGAUGGGCUUGAGUGCAGGAGAGGUUAUCGGAAUUCCCGGUGUAGCGGUGAAAUGCGUAGAGAUCGGGAGGAACACCAGUGGCGAAGGCGGGUAACUGGACUGCAACUGACGCUGAGGCGCGAAAGUGUGAUGAGCAAACAGGAUUAGAUACCCUGGUAGUACACAUUGUAAACGAUGAAUACUAGGUGUAAGAGGUAUCGACCUCUUUUGUGCCGGAGUUAACACAAUAAGCAUUCCGCCUGGGGAGUACGGCCGCAAGGUUGAAACUCAAAGGAAUUGGCGGGG